GCACGGAGGGCUUCGGCUUUCAGUGGCGGACGGGUGAGUAUCGCGUAGGGAUUUAUCGUUGGGUGGGGGAUAACCUUGGGAAACUGGGGCUAAUACCGCAUGACGCCUGAGGGCCAAAGCAGUGAUGCGCCUGACGAGGAGCCUGCGUCCGAUUAGUUAGUUGGUUGGGUAAUGGCUGACCAAGACGUCGAUCGGUAGCUGGUCUGAGAGGAUGAUCAGCCACACUGGGACUGAGACACGGCCCAGACUCCUACGGGAGGCAGCAGUGGGGAAUAUUGGACAAUGGGCGCAAGCCUGAUCCAGCAAUGCCGCGUGGAUGAAGAAGGUUUUCGGAUUGUAAAGUCCUUUCGGCGGGGACGAUGAUGACGGUACCCGCAGAAGAAGCCCCGGCUAACUUCGUGC
rnacentral:rRNA from 1 species